rnacentral:rRNA from 1 species
GAUGAACGUUAGCGGGAGGCUUAAUACAUGCAAGUCGAGCGGUAAGUUUUAUAGCAAUAUGAAGACCUAGAGCGGCGCACGGGUGAGUAACGCGUACACGACCUGGCCUAAACUGGGGGAUAGCCCUUGGGAAACUGAGAGUAAUCCCGCAUGUGAUUAUGUUACUGAUGGUGAUAUAAUUAAAAGCUUCGGCGGUUUAGGAUGGGUGUGCGUCUGAUUAGCUAGUUGGUAGUGUAACGGACUACCAAGGCGAUGAUCAGUAGGGGGCGUGAGGGCGUGACCCCCCACCACGGUACGUGAGACACGGACCCGACUCUACGGAGGCAGC